CCAGCCAAGCCAGUCACGCUUACGGGGGUUUAGGGAUCGACUCCGGAGAGGGCGCUCGAGAAAUGGCGCCCACGUCUAAGGACGGCAGCAGGCGCGUAAAUUACCCAAUGAGAAAUUCUUGAGGUAGAGAAGACGCAUAUCAACGAUGGGCGCAAUAGUGCCGAUCGAUUGAAAUGGGGCGAGUCUAAACCACUCGCCGAGUAACAAGUAGAGGGCAAGUCUGGUGCCAGCAGCCGCGGUAAUUCCAGCUCUACGAGUAUAUAUUUACGUUGUUGCGGUUAAAAAGUUCGUAGUCGGAGUUUUGUUGCGCCGCGCGAGCGCGUCGAGAAAUUCGGCGCAUCGUGCGCGCUUCAUAUCGGACGGAUCCGGAGGCGUUGGGAUUAAUUUCUCGGCGUCGCCAACCGUCCAUAGCCCCGUGAAUAACUCAGAGCGUUCAAGGCAGGCCUUAGGGUCGUUGAAUGUCAAAGCAUGGGACGCUGGAAAAGGACUGAAUUCCUUUUGCUGGUUCAAGCGAAUUUAGUAAUGAUUAAUGGAAACGAUUGGGGCCGUGGGUAUUUGUUGGUGAGAGGUGAAAUUCUAUGAUCCAAUGAGGACCAUCUACUGCGAUAGCAUUCGGCCAGGGCGUGUUCGUCGAUCAAGAACGAAAGUGCAGGGAUCGAAGAUGAUCAGAUACCGUUGUAGUCUGCACCCUAACCGAUACCAACCAGGGAUUCGGCAGCGAUCUUAUUGUCCUGUCGAGCACCUCAGGGGAAACCAGAGUUUUUGGGUUCCGGGGGGAGUACGGAUGCAAUACUGAAACUUAAAGGAAUUGACGGAAGGGCACCACCAGGGGUGGAUUUUGCGGCUUAAUUUGACCCAACGCGGGAAAACUUACCGGGAUAGGAGAACGAAAGGAGGGACUGAUUGAAAGCUCAUUCCCGAUACGUUCGAUGGUGGUGCAUGGCCGUUCUUAGUUGGUGGAGUGAUUCGUCUGGUUGAUUCCGUUAACGAGCGAGACCAACAUCUCUUACUAGGGGGAGUUUGUGGCUAAUGGUGAAGGCGAUGGGUGGCGGCUCUUCGGAGAAGCUACUUCUCGUUGGAUCCGUGUCAGCAAGCUCAACCUUCUUAGCGAGACAACCGGCAAAAAGCCGGAGGAAGUUGUUGGCGAUAACAGGUCUGUGAUGCCCUUAGAUACUCCGGGCCGCACGCGAAAUACAAUGGAAGGAACAGCAAGUUAUCCUGGGCCGGAAGGCUUGGGUAAACUGCAAAUCCUUUCGUGAUGGGGAUUGACACUUGCAAUUAUUUGUCAUGAACGAGGAAUCCCUUGUAAUUGCGAUUCAUUAUAUCGCAGUGAAUCUGUCCCUGCCCUUUGUACACACCGCCCGUCGCUUCUACCGAUGAUUGAGUCGAUGAGGCCGGAGGGGAGAUACUCGUCUGGUGGGCAACUGCCUUGAGCGUCUCGAAUCCGUCCAAAUCUCCUCUGUUAAAGGAAGAAGAAGUCGUAACAAGGUA
rnacentral:rRNA from 1 species